rnacentral:rRNA from 1 species
GAUGAACGCUGACAGAAUGCUAAACACAUGCAAGUCGAUGGGGAAGUGGUGCUUGCACCAUGGCAACCAUGGCGGACGGGUGAGUAACGCGUAAGGGACUUACCUGCAGGACUGGGAUAACAGGGGGAAACUCCUGACAAGACCGGAUAAUGUCAUGGAGCUGCAUGGCUUUAUGAUGAAAGGAGACGCCUGCGGAGAGCCUUGCGUCCUAUUAGCUAGUUGGUGAGGUAAUGGCUCACCAAGGCGAAGAUAGGUAGCCGGCCUGAGAGGGUGGACGGCCACAAGGGGACUGAGAUACGGCCCUUACUCCUACGGGAGGCAGCAGUGGGGAAUAUUGGACAAUGGGGGCAACCCUGAUCCAGCAAUUCUGUGUGCACGAAGAAGGUUUUCGGAUUGUAAAGUGCUUUCAGCAGGGAAGAAGUAAGUGACGGUACCUGCAGAAGAAGCGACGGCUAAAUACGUG